GCACCAAUAGCUCAGUGGUAGAGCGUGCGUUUAGUAAGCGCAAGGCCAGGAGUUCAAACCUCCUUUGGUGCA
rnacentral:tRNA from 1 species